AAUGCAAAUCCCGUGCUGCAGAUAUAUAAUAAGGGACCUGGGUUGACAAAUUAGAUUACCUUUCAAUUGCCGGUGGAUAAUGUGCUAAAAGCUUUGCCACUUAGUGUAACUCCUUACUGAAAAUUAUUCACACAUUGGGGGCUACUGUUCUUGCGGCUGAAUGCACUUCUUAAAGAUACAGCAAACCCUGAAACGGAGGUCAUUGUCAACAGAAUAGUUUGGCAGCUUGUAAUUCAAGCGAGUUAGGCCCGUAACAUUCGAUAACCUGGAACCAAUAAUGACCGCAUAUGACAAAGACAAGAGGAUGUUUCCCAGCGAAAUUAAAUGUCAUUGCUUUCGUGGAAUAAUCAGUGACGCGAGAGCGCUUUAAAAACAUGCACGGACUAUGAAUGGAAAUACGUUAAACUGUGCUUUUCUUACGCAAAACAUAAAGCGUGGGGAAAGUUCGAGCCCUGAUGAAUCUUGGCAUUAUCGUCCUGGAAUAUCCCCAUGCCAUUAGGGAAGGAAAAAUCCACCGAUGAUGGAUGGAGGUGUAACCUGGCCAGUAGAUUCAGAGCAGACGUGAAACAUCCAGAAACUUCGAGGAACGUGCUGUCUGUGUAGAACCUUAAAGCCCCAGCAGCUGCCUGUCCAGUGGCCUCAGGGACUGUCGCUUAGGAGACUCUAAACAUCUCAGUGUGUGAAUUUGUACCCUGUGAUGGACUGCCAUACUGUCCAGGACAUCUACUGCCUGCUUCACCAGGAUCCUAGACUGCAUAUGUGGUUAAUGGAAAAAAAAAACUACCAUUUGAAUCAAUAUUUUAUUAUCCAGCACAUCAACGCAUUCAAUCAGUGGUUCUGAUGACAGUGACUGAUCACCAAACAUGUACUCAUUUGUUUAUUGUCGUCAUUUUGCUUAAACAUCAGUAUAUUACAUUGUUUUUUUCCUGUAAAUGGCCACCAAACUAAAUAAAACUAAUAAA